AGAACCUGAGGGAGCGUGCCAGGCUCCAAAAAGUGACAGAGCAGAGGAGGUCCAGCGAUGGACUUGUGGUUCUGUGAACAGCACAAAUGCCAGGAGCAGAGUCUGAAGUCUGGAGAUUGGAUGUUGACAAGGCCAUGGAGAGGAAGUGCUGGUCCAGUCCACGGUGGGAAGGUCCAUAUCGGAUGCUGCUGACGACGACCACAGCAGUGAAGAUUGCUGGAAG